AUUGAACGCUGGCGGUAUGCUUAACACAUGCAAGUCGAACGGUAACAGGCAGAGCUUGCUCUGCGCUGACGAGUGGCGGACGGGUGCGUAACGCGUGGGAAUUUACCUUGUAGUGGGGGAUAGCCCGGAGAAAUCCGGAUUAAUACCGCAUAAUCUCUACGGAGCAAAGUGGGGGAUCUUCGGACCUCACGCUAUUAGAUGAGCCCGCGUUAGAUUAGCUUGUUGGUGAGGUAAUGGCUCACCAAGGCAACGAUCUAUAGCUGGUUUGAGAGGAUGAUCAGCCACACUGGGGACUGAGACACGGCCCAGACUCCUACGGGAGGCAGCAGUGGGGAAUAUUGGACAAUGGGCGCAAGCCUGAUCCAGCAAUACCGCGUGUGUGAAGAAGGCCUGAGGGUUGUAAAGCACUUUCAAUAGAGACGAAAAGCUUAGGGUUAAUAACCUGAGUCUUGACUUAACCUAUAGAAGAAGCACCGGCUAACUCCG
rnacentral:rRNA from 1 species